CCUACGGGAGGCAGCAGUAGGGAAUCUUUCACAAUGGGCGAAAGCCUGAUGGAGCAACGCCGUGUGCAGGAUGAAGGCCUUCGGGUUGGAAACUGCUUUUAUAAGCGAGAAAUAUGAUGGUAACUUAUGAAUAAGGAUCGGCUAACUACGUGCCAGCAGCCGCGGUCAUACGUAGGAUCCGAGCAUUAUCCGGAGUGACUGGGUGUAAAGAGUUGCGUAGGUGGCAUAGUAAGUAGCUAGUGAAAUCUGGUGGCUCAACCAUUCAGACUAUUAGCUAAACUGCUAAGAGCGAGACCGUUAGUGGUAACUGGAAUUUCUAGUGUAGGAGUGAAAGCCGUAGAUAUUAGAAGGAACACCGAUAGCGUAGGCAGGUUACUGGGACGGUUCUGACACUAAGGCACGAAAGCGUAGGGAGCAAACGGGAUUAGAUACCCCAGUAGUC
rnacentral:rRNA from 1 species